UACGGUCAUAUAACGUUGAAACACCAGUUCUUGUCCGAUCACCAAAGUUAAGCAUCAUCGACCCUGCUCACUACUUAGAUGGGCGAUUACUUGGGGAUACCAGGUGC